GUUGCGUUCCAUCAGGACAAGCAAGGCGAGCAGUGCUUGCCUCGUCAAAUCUGAAAAUAUACAUGUCCAAAGUAAAGCAAUCAAUCUUUUGAUCUCAGGCAUCGCCGUCACGAAGCCCGUUCCCUGUCAGUUUCUAAUAUGUGGAUCCAGGCCUUACAUUACUGCCAUCUUGUGACUGCAGUCGGCGAUGGAGCUGGGCGAGCUGAGAGGCCAGCAGCUUUUUCCUGGUGGUUUGUGCAUGCACAUUGUGGUCUGUGACUGUAAACUGAUGAGAGACCAGCGAGCAACGCAAGAUGCCGCUGGCUGAGCUUUCACUGCUCUGGGAUACAACAUCAGGAGAAAGAAGACAUAAAAGAGAGUUUGGAUUCACAGUAGGAUGCAGCAUUGGUGGGGCCGCGCUCUGCAGUCCUUCAUGUCGCUGUGAAAACUUCUGACUUUGGAAUAAAAAGG
rnacentral:lncRNA from 1 species